rnacentral:rRNA from 1 species
AUGCCUGGUUCACAUGAUGAAUCCUUUGUGCAGGGAGUUCUAGUGAUGCAUUAUACAAGGAGCUAUAUGGCAUAUGCUUGCGCUGGGCCGUUGGUGCUUCGCCAAGGUGAAAGAGUUUACUACUUCCACAUGGACAUAUGGAACAGGAAACCACGCAGACCAGAGGAGAGGAAAUGCAGAUGCGAUGUGUACUUUCGCAAGGAGCAACUUGAAACUGAAGUAGCGAGGCAGGAACCGCGGCCGUGGGGCAGGUGGAGGGGACCUGCUGCCAGGGUCGAAGCUAGGGAAGACCGAGGGGAGUCGAUUAGGAUGGAGCGCAACAGGGUAGGAAGCUAUCCAGAGUCAGCUGCAGGCAUGCCACCUUGGACCACGGGGAGGCCACCACCGUGUAUCCGCCUUGGAGGCCAGGGUCGGAGCUGGAGCCGAGGAGGAUCCAUGAGGAGAGGAUGGCACGCGGCUCUCCCAAUCCAUGGUGUAGCCUGCGCGCACCUCCCAGCCAGCGAGCCGGAGCGGCAACCUAGCACGCCGUGGGAUCUCGGGUGGAGGCUCGAGGGCAACAUUAGGAGGAGAGAUGGAGACCAAAAAGUACACAUGAGAGAAGAACACAACAAGGAGCUACUUAUAGGCAAGCAAAGAAGGACCUAG